ensembl:snoRNA
UAUCCCUGAUCUGGGUGGCACCUGGUUUGGUGGUGCUUGUUGCAUAUCAGCCAGGGACAAAGUAACUCCUUGUUCAUCUCAGCUUGGCUUUUGGUCUGUGCUCAUGCCUGGUUCAUGGCCUGGACACAUGG